rnacentral:rRNA from 1 species
UACAGAGGGGGCAAGCGUUAUUCGGAAUUAUUGGGCGUAAAGGGCGCGUAGGCGGCCAUUCAAGUGACGGGUGAAAGCCCUCGGCUUAACCGAGGAACUGCCUGUCAGACUGGAUGGCUUGAGACCGGGAGAGGUGAGUGGAAUUCCCAGUGUAGCGGUGAAAUGCGUAGAUAUUGGGAGGAACACCAGUGGCGAAGGCGGCUCACUGGACCGGAACUGACGCUGAGGCGCGAAAGCCAGGGGAGCGAACGGG